CAGUCGCCACGGUAAUACGAAGGGGGCUAGCGUUGUUCGGAUUUACUGGGCGUAAAGCGUGCGCAGGCGGUUCUAUAAGACAGAUGUGAAAUCCCCGGGCUCAACCUGGGAACUGCAUUUGUGACUGUAGAGCUGGAGUGCGGCAGAGGGGGAUGGAAUUCCGCGUGUAGCAGUGAAAUGCGUAGAUAUGCGGAGGAACACCGAUGGCGAAGGCAAUCCCCUGGGCCCGCACUGACGCUCAUGCACGAAAGCGUGGGGAGCAAACAGGAUUAGAUACCCGCGUAGUCCCUGUCUCUUAUAC
rnacentral:rRNA from 1 species